rnacentral:rRNA from 1 species
CAGCAGCCGCGGUAAUACGGAGGGUGCAAGCGUUAAUCGGAAUUACUGGGCGUAAAGCGCACGCAGGCGGUCUGACAAGUCAGAUGUGAAAUCGCCGGGCUUAACCUGGGAACUGCAUUUGAAACUGUCAGGCUGGAGUCUUGUAGAGGGGGGUGGAAUUCCAGGUGUAGCGGUGAAAUGCGUAGAGAUCUGGAGGAAUACCGGUGGCGAAGGCGGCCCCCUGGACAAAGACUGACGCUCAGGUGCGAAAGCGUGGGGAGCAAACAGGAUUAGAUACCCGCGUAGUCCCUGUCUCUUAUAC